GAUCACUGGAAUAUGUUUCUGCUACGCCACGAGUGUAUUGGCGAUCCAACACAAUUGGAAUGGAUCCUAAAAGUACAUGUAUUGCUUCCAAAUACGUCUCAAUCCUCUCAACACCUAGUUCCAUAAACCAGAAUCUGAUUUUGUUUCUAAGCUGAAGCUUCCAUCUGACUAAGGAAAUAAUGUGAAUAAUCCUUAACACUGUGUUCAAUUGAUCCACAUCUAAAACACACCGCCAUUUUCCUCCCAC
rnacentral:lncRNA from 1 species